rnacentral:lncRNA from 10 species
CUGAAAUUUGCUGAACAGACUUUAGUUAUGAGGAUUUUAUUUAACUUUUCAUUACUGGUUCUGUCACUGAAGUGAAUGAGGCACAUACACAGGGAAUACGUCAGUUUCAGGAGACUUCUUUUUUUUAUUUUCUCCUUCAGUUCUCUGUUUUUCAACUCUGCAAGUUAUUUAUGCGAUCUGCACCUGUAUUUCCUUUUAUUUUUUUGCAAUAUAGUAAUCCUAUACAAUUAGGAGAAAUCAUAUAGCUUACUCUACCUAUGGCACAUAUUUGAUGAGAUAAUGGAUGUAAAACUAGAAAACAUUUAAACUGAACGAAAAAGAUGGAUUUGAUGUCGUGAAAUGGCAAUUCUAAAACUCAGGAGAUAUGUUGGUGUUUCUGAGCUCUUACUCCAGUGUCCACUUGUCCAUAGAAUCACCUUUCACUUCUGGGGUCAGAGGACAGCUCCUGGAAUGAUCUCUCAUCUUACGGCAAAAAGGUAUCAAUCCAGCUACUCACAUGAUCAACUCCUCCAGUUCAUUGGUGAAUCUCCUGAAGUAACUUCUUCUUAGUGGAUAUCUAUGAUCACUCUAUUUAAAAUAGUCCCCUUUAUUCCUCAUCUCUUACACUCAAUUUUUUCUUUUUUUCUUUCAAUUGCUUGUCAUGCCUUUCCCUAGACUAUGAACUUAAUGUGAAGUUUGUCUUACUUACCAUGAUAUCCCCAGAACCUAGAAUAAGUAUAUGUCCAUACAUAUUUUUGAAUACCUGAAUAAAUAAACAUUUGUUUUUUUAAGGGUAGAAUAUUUUACCCUGAUCUGCUACUUCUGUUUUCACUUCAUAACAAUUGGAGAUUUCUAA